UACAGAGGUCUCAACCGUUGUUCGGAUUCAUUGGGCGUAAAGGGUGCGUAGGCGGUCGUGCAAGUCGGAUGUGAAAUCUCAGGGCUCAACCCUGAAACUGCAUUCGAUACUGCGCGGCUAGAGUGCUGGAGGGGAGACUGGAAUUUACGGUGUAGCAGUGAAAUGCGUAGAUAUCGUAAGGAAGACCAGUGGCGAAGGCGAGUCUCUGGACAGCAACUGACGCUGAGGCACGAAGGCCAGGGGAGCAAACGGGAUUA
rnacentral:rRNA from 1 species